rnacentral:rRNA from 1 species
AUAAUGGAGAGUUUGAUCCUGGCUCAGAACGAACGCUGGCGGCGCGUUUUAAGCAUGCAAGUCGCACGGUAGACGGGUUUCGGCCUGUUGAGAGUGGCGAACGGGUGAGUAACACGUAGGUGAUGUACCCUAAAGUUGGGGAUAGCUCAUGGAAACAUGGGGUAAUACCGAAUAAUCCGGCAGUUUUUGUACUGUCGGGAAAGGGGCUUUCGGGCCUCGCUUUUGGAUCAGCCUGCGGCUUAUUAGCUUGUUGGUGAGGUAAAGGCUCACCAAGGCGACGAUAAGUAGCCGGCCUGAGAGGGUGACCGGCCACAUUGGGACUGAGAUACGGCCCAGACUCCUACGGGAGGCAGCAGCUAAGAAUCUUCCGCAAUGGGCGCAAGCCUGACGGAGCGACGCCGCGUGCACGAUGAAGGCAGAGAUGUUGUAAAGUGCUUUUAUGGGUGAGGAAUAACAGAGGCAGGAAAUGGUCUUUGGAUGACGUGAACCCAUGAAUAAGCUCCGGCUAAUUACGUGCCAGCAGCCGCGGUAAUACGUAAGGAGCGAGCGUUGUUCGGAAUUAUUGGGCGUAAAGUGCGUGCAGGCUGUUUAUUAAGUCUGAUGUGAAAUCAUACAGCUUAACUGUAUUGGUGCGUUGGAAACUGAUGAACUAGAAUUCGAGAGAGGAAAUUGGAAUUCCUGGUGUAGGGGUGAAAUCUGUUGAUAUCAGGAAGAACACCUGAGGCGAAAGCGAAUUUCUGGCUCUGAAUUGACGCUGUAGCGCGAAAGCGUAGGGAGCAAACAGGAUUAGAUACCCUGGUAGUCUACGCCGUAAAUGUUGUACACUUGGUGUUGGUCCCUCCGAAUCUGCAAAGGUUUUGUGGAUUAGGGGGGAUCAGUGCCGGAGCUAACGUGUUAAGUGUACCGCCUGGGGAGUAUGCCGGCAACGGUGAAACUCAAAGGAAUUGACGGGGGCCCGCACAAGCGGUGGAGCAUGUGGUUUAAUUCGAUGAUACGCGAGGAACCUUACCAGGGCUUGACAUGUACGGGGACGGUAUAGAGAUAUGCCGGCUGCUUCGGCAGCCCGUAUACAGGUGCUGCAUGGUUGUCGUCAGCUCGUGCCGUGAGGUGUUGGGUUAAGUCCCGCAACGAGCGCAACCCUUGUUGUCUGUUACCAUCAUUAAGUUGGGGACUCAGGCGAGACUGCCGGUGAUAAACCGGAGGAAGGUGGGGAUGACGUCAAAUCAGCAUGGCCCUUAUGCCCUGGGCUACACACGUGCUACAAUGGCCGGUACAAUGCGCAGCAAGACGGUGACGUGGAGCGAAUCGCAAAAAGCCGGUCCCAGUCCGGAUUGGAGUCUGCAACUCGACUCCAUGAAGUUGGAAUCGCUAGUAAUCGCGUAUCAGCAUGACGCGGUGAAUACGUUCCCGGGCCUUGUACACACCGCCCGUCACACCACCCGAGUUGGGAGUGCCCGAAGUCAGUAGUUUAACCGCAAGGGGAACGCUGCCGAAGGUAAGUCCGGCGAGGGGGGUGAAGUCGUAACAAGGUAGCCGUACCGGAAGGUGCGGCUGGAUCACCUCCUUU